rnacentral:rRNA from 1 species
UACAGAGGGGGCGAGCGUUAUUCGGAAUUAUUGGGCGUAAAGGGCGCGUAGGCGGCUUUUCAAGUGACGGGUGAAAGCCCUCGGCUUAACCGAGGAACUGCCUGUCAGACUGGAAGGCUUGAGACCGGGAGAGGUGAGUGGAAUUCCCAGUGUAGCGGUGAAAUGCGUAGAUAUUGGGAGGAACACCAGUGGCGAAGGCGGCUCACUGGACCGGUACUGACGCUGAGGCGCGAAAGCGUGGGGAGCAAACAGG